UCAGCUGAGGGUAGACUGGGCAGUCGCUCCUAUGGACAUGUUGUAGAUCCAGAAAUGGUGGAGGAUUUAAAACUGAGAAAAACUGUUCAAAUAUGUAAAUAUAAUUACAAGAAAGAAAAAGGUCAAAGGUUAAAGAAAAAGACUUAUGAACACAUGGGAGACUAAAAGUUUGAGAAGACAAGCUAUGGCUUUGCCUUGAAUAAAUUACUUGAUUUCCUCAAACCAAAUGUAAUCUAAAAGGAGAGAACUGCAUGAAUUCUUCCAAAAAAAGAUUCCUCCACACAUCGCAAGCAGUAUGGAAGAAAAGGAAGAAAAAUUCAUGAUAAUUCAUCAUAAAUCCUAACACACUUCAGCCACAGAUUAAAAGAACCACGCCAGUUGCUCUGACUCCAGACAGAGAGCAAAGAAAUCCAUGGUCCCCCAGGGUUCACAGAAGUCUGUCCAUCACGCUGUCAGUCUUUCAGAUCAUUAUUCAAGUUGCUAUCCCCAAUUUUGCUAGAUACAUCAGAUUUACUCCUGCUCCCUAGGACCUUGCACUUGUGAGGCAGCCAUGGUGCCACUGAUCUAAGAUCUUUUGGGGCACAGAAAAAUAUGUCUACAUGGCUCUAAGUUGAUGUAGAAGUUUGACAGCUAUCUGAGCAUUUGAUCAAUGAAGACCAACAAACUGAAAACUUGAAACAAUUUCCAAAAGGCAACCAACAAAAACAGAUUAACAGUGCACAUUCUUCCUAUUUUUAAAGACAGCAAAGCAAAAUACUGGUGAAUACUAUAAGGAUGCACUGAAAAAUCCAUUGUUAACUAUGUCAAUAAAAAGAAAAGCAAAUG